rnacentral:rRNA from 1 species
GCAAGUCGAACGGAAAGGCCCUGCUUUUGUGGGGUGCUCGAGUGGCGAACGGGUGAGUAACACGUGAGUAACCUGCCCUUGACUUUGGGAUAACUUCAGGAAACUGGGGCUAAUACCGGAUAGGAGCUCCUGCUGCAUGGUGGGGGUUGGAAAGUUUCGGCGGUUGGGGAUGGACUCGCGGCUUAUCAGCUUGUUGGUGGGGUAGUGGCUUACCAAGGCUUUGACGGGUAGCCGGCCUGAGAGGGUGACCGGCCACAUUGGGACUGAGAUACGGCCCAGACUCCUACGGGAGGCAGCAGUGGGGAAUAUUGCACAAUGGGCGGAAGCCUGAUGCAGCAACGCCGCGUGCGGGAUGACGGCCUUCGGGUUGUAAACCGCUUUCGCCUGUGACGAAGCGUGAGUGACGGUAAUGGGUAAAGAAGCACCGGCUAACUACGUGCCAGCAGCCGCGGUGAUACGUAGGGUGCGAGCGUUGUCCGGAUUUAUUGGGCGUAAAGGGCUCGUAGGUGGUUGAUCGCGUCGGAAGUGUAAUCUUGGGGCUUAACCCUGAGCGUGCUUUCGAUACGGGUUGACUUGAGGAAGGUAGGGGAGAAUGGAAUUCCUGGUGGAGCGGUGGAAUGCGCAGAUAUCAGGAGGAACACCAGUGGCGAAGGCGGUUCUCUGGGCCUUUCCUGACGCUGAGGAGCGAAAGCGUGGGGAGCGAACAGGCUUAGAUACCCUGGUAGUCCACGCUGUAAACGGUGGGUACUAGGUGUGGGGUCCAUUCCACGGGUUCCGCGCCGUAGCUAACGCUUUAAGUACCCCGCCUGGGGAGUACGGCCGCAAGGCUAAAACUCAAAGGAAUUGACGGGGCCCCGCACAAGCGGCGGAGCAUGCGGAUUAAUUCGAUGCAACGCGUAGAACCUUACCUGGGUUUGACAUGGAUCGGGAGUGCUCAGAGAUGGGUGUGCCUCUUUUGGGGUCGGUUCACAGGUGGUGCAUGGCUGUCGUCAGCUCGUGUCGAGAGAUGUUGGGUUAAGUCCCCCACGAGCGCACCCUUGUUCACUGUUGCCAGCACGUUAUGGGCGGGACUCAGUGGAGACCUNCGGGGUCACUCGGAGGAAGUGGGNAUGACGUCAAUCAUCAU